CCUACGGGGGGCAGCAGUGAGGAAUAUUGGUCAAUGGACGAGAGUCUGAACCAGCCAAGUAGCGUGAAGGAUGACUGCCCUAUGGGUUGUAAACUUCUUUUAUAUGGGAAUAAAACGUUCCACGUGUGGGAUUUUGUAUGUACCAUAUGAAUAAGGAUCGGCUAACUCCGUGCCAGCAGCCGCGGUAAUACGGAGGAUCCGAGCGUUAUCCGGAUUUAUUGGGUUUAAAGGGAGCGUAGGUGGAUUGUUAAGUCAGUUGUGAAAGUUUGCGGCUCAACCGUAAAAUUGCAGUGGAAACUGGCAGUCUUGAGUACAGUAGAGGUGGGCGGAAUUCGUGGUGUAGCGGUGAAAUGCUUAGAUAUCACGAAGAACUCCGAUUGCGAAGGCAGUUCACUGGACUGCAACUGACACUGAGGCUCGAAAGUGUGGGUAUCAAACAGGAUUAGAUACCCUAGUAGUC
rnacentral:rRNA from 1 species